UUACGGACAUAUCACGUUGAAACAUUGGUUCUCAUACGAACACCGAAAUUAAGCUACGUCGAGCCUGGUCAGUACCUGAAUGGGUUGCCGCUUGGCAAUAUCAGGUGCUGUAA